ensembl:lncRNA
UUUAAAGGACAUAGAAAAAAACGCUAGACCAAUUUAGAACUGAGAGAGAAUCUCAACCUGAUAAAGGUUCCACCAGCAAGAUCAAGAGCAAACUACUUUGGUAAAGUAGUGGUGGAUAGAUCCUUCUGAGAACAUAGUACAUUUACUCAGAGCCACUCUGUACUUGUUUUACUGGGUUCCCUGCACAUGGGUACCGUUGCCUUCACGAUGUUCUUCCAGAAAGGGUUGUUUAAGAUACAAAACAUGAUUGUUUUUAAUAUAAUACUAACAGUACAUGAUUCCUAUCUGUGAUAGUUUGAAAUGUGCAGAAUUCAGAUGUACUAUCUACAUUUACAUUUGACAUAAUCGGUGAACAGGUAUUUAUACAGGUUUUUUUGUUGCUAGGCCUUUUGCUUUCUGUUGGGUCUGUCUGUCUUUUGAGUUUCUUCCCCUCCUGGUUGUCAGCUGGUCUAGUUGGGAUCUUCUUGCAAUUCCUACCACCUGCUGCUGAUCUUCUUGCCUCUACUCGCCUCCAGUAUUUAAGCACGGUCUGAUCUUCCAGUCUUUGCCAGUUUGUCAGUUACUCUUGUGGUAAUCUGCUUCCUGGCUGCUGUUCUUUUGAAUAGUAUUUUGUUGCGUAACUAUUAGUACUGGUAUUGCUGUCCAGGCUUUAACUUCCAGCCGUCUGCUUCUUCCCCAGUUUUAUUCUGUGUCCUGCUCCUCCGCCUUGACCAGUGCUUCUCCCUGCCUCGCCAGUUCCCGUCCGGAGCUCCAGCAUCCAGCCUCCCCAGUAUCAACCUCCAUCAACCUGUGUGUUAAAAUAAACUUCGGGACUGAAGUUCAGUCUGACUUGUGGAUCCAGUUCUUCGAUGUUUGUGCCAAAUUCGAAAAAAUUCCCUCCCUCCGAGAUAUUGUAUUUAUAGGUUCAGGAUAGAUGGAAAACACAAAGACCUAAUGCGUUGCUUUGUUUGGAGGUAACAUAAAAUGGUCCAAGAAGGAAUGCAUAAGUUUCUGAUAACAGGAGUUGAUCCUCAAAUCCAAUCCUUAAGACAGCCUUUCCAAACUCUUAUAUCCAAGAGAUCCAAUUUGUGUUGUGUGUUUAGACAUUGGCAAAAUAUUUGCAUGGGCUACUGUCGUAACGAGGUAUGUUUAAGUAACUAUGUAGCAGCACUAGUGAUAUACAAUUAAGCAACAGGGUAGCACUUGAUCUGAAAACCAUUCUGCUGUCAAGUUGGGGUGCCAAAGUCUUCCGUUGCACCACAUAGACUCAGCCACAGAGGAGGCUGCUAUACAUCGAGGAAGCCUGGCAGACUAUUUGUUUCGGUUUAUUUCCCUCCAAGAACUUUAUAUAAGUCAUAUAGUUAGUUAUAAAUCUUACACAGCCUGGUAUUCUUUUGGGUGGCAAGUAUUGUGUGAAAUUAUAUAGUGUUAAUGAGCUUGAGCUGAGAAAUAGGUUAAUCAAUUGGACAGCUAAUGACUUCUUCUUCCACAGUACACCUGAAAGGCUGACAUAAAACUCAAAAGUUCCUUUCUCUCUCCAUCCUUUAUCCUGGAAUAAAUUGUCAAACGCUUGGCCCUGUUGACUCCCAUUACUUGAUAGUUAACUAGGUCAUACAUGAUGGAAUCUCUCCAUUUAACCCCAGCUCCAAAGAAAGCCAGAUCGGAAUUAUUUUCACCUGAAGAGAUUUCAUUAGUUGUUGUGAAUGACUUUGGAAUUCCUUUCCUUCAUGUUGUUAAACAAUAAAGGGAACGUCGUGUUCUCAAGAUGUUUCUCAAUCUGACUGGAUUUAUAUGAAACUUCUUUCCUGUUGCCCUGGGUAUUUCCAAGGUGAGUAGCAGAAGCAAAUAAAUAUUUGAUUGAAUUUUUAAGAAAUUAAUCAUUUGAUGAAAAAGACACCCGUAUGACUUGAUAGUUAAAAUCUUUGUUUUCAUCUGAGGAGAAGUCACAGUUGGAGGGGAUGAACUGGAGCGUCUCUAUCCAAAGGAGGCUCAGCACUCAUUCCUACGACAACUCCAGUGUCCGGUGUGACGUGUAAACCAUGCUGUGGCUUCUCAGCAUGUAUGUUGGUAUGCACUCUGCCAAGUUACACUUUUGUUGUGUAUUCCUUAUUGGCAAUGUUUGUAUUUAUGUCCAUAUUGUUCAAUAAUACCUAUUUUUAAUGAAAGAUACCAUUAAAUUUACAUUUGGGGUGUUUUGAAGAUGUAUGAGGUACUUAAUCAUGGUCAGUGUAUUACGUACAGCAUGUUCGGAGAGACACUAGCAUCGGAGCAAAGCAAUGCACUGCUGUGAAGGGGGGCAGCAGACAGAUCUAUUUUCGGCACCUCAAAGAAUGACCCAUCGAAGAAAUAGACUCACUUUUAAGUGUAGCUGUAUUUAGAAUAUUUUCCAACAUGUAGCUAAACUGGAAGUAAAACAUAUCCGGGAUGUUUUCUCAACGGAGUCUUUCGGCCUUAAAAGCGGAAAACAUACAUUUCAUUUUCGUUCAGUUUCCCUUCAGAAAGGUCUGUCUGAGAGAAAAUAUAAAGCAGGGAAUAUAACCUGAAUAUAUUGUCCAUUUAAAAAGUAUGUUGAAUUUCAGGGGGGUAAAAUUGGGGUUACUGAUACAUGUGUCCACAGAGAGAUACUGCUUUGCUCUCGUAUCUGUACAUCAGCCCAUUUUGCAAUACUGGGGGCAUGCCAACUGCCUUUACUGUAGCACACACUGAAUAUUUAUAGUAAAGUACUUGGUGUUGAUAUGGUGUUGAACACCAUUUCAAGACACCCAAACUAUACCUUGAAGCAAAUGGAACCAAGUGCAGAUUGUUCUCCCUAAAAAUGAUCAUUUUGGAUUUGUUUUAGUGCACCAGCAAAUAAGAGGGUUAAACUGUACAACAGAGGUUUAAACUGUUUUUCUUUUAGCUUAACUUACAUAUUUUUAUUUGAGUAAUCUUAUUGAACAAUUUAUGCAAUUUAAGCUUUGUUUGAUGAGAAAUAUUGCUUUUUAACAAUUAUCAUGGUGCUCUACCUCGGUAUAAAGUAAACCACUGUCAUAAUAUUUAAAGCCUGUGUUACGUCUUAAAAGACCUUGCAAAUCCCAAACCUUUCUUCAAAGUACAGGUUCUCUAUAAACAAGGCUUUAAAUAUUAUUUAAAGCCUUGUUUAUAUAAUAUAUAUAAACAAUAUAAUAGGUAUAUAUUAUAUUUAAAUAAGGCAAGGUGAGUAAUCAUAUACAACUUGAAACAUGGUACUACUAUGUUUUACAUCCCCAGCCAUGGUAAAGUAUAUUACCAAUCCAGAAGACAAAAACACGGUUAGAUGUACGGAAAUACAGAGGGUAAAAUAAAAGAUAGUGACAAGAAGAGAUUGCAAGCUCCCCAGACCUAUUUAAUUAAUCACAAGUAGUAAUUAGUCCCAACACUGGUUUUAAAACAGAUGCUGGUGGGGGGAACCGCUGCAAUGACUCUACAAGAACCAUAAAUCAACCAGAGACCUUCUGGAAACAAUUAAACGGUCUCAGGACAUUGUCUUCACUUACAGUCUUUCCCACAUUAAGGAAGGCAACAAACUGGUCUCCUGUUGAGAUCAACCAGUGCAGCCAAGGGUGUGAAUGCAUGACUCCUACACCCGCUAAUGCAGCUAUAUUCACCGAAAUGACAAAGGACGAACUCAAGUGGAGACAUGUGCUAUUAGGUUCCAAAUAUCUAGCAAAAACCACACUGGAUCUAGCAAAAAGGGCAUCACACUUUAAAAAGCAUUCAAACCACAAGAACGAUAAUCCAGAUUGCUCAGUCCAUUAUGUCACACUGAGGACAAGCAGGUGUACAUCUUCCAGUGAUCAAACUGGAAGAGGGUUAGGGAACAUAGAGACAGGGGGAGCAAAACAACCACAUUUAAGGGUCUGGGGGCCCGGAUGAAGUGCAUAAAGCUUCAGACUAUCACAUGUCAGUCUGCUGAGGUUGGCCAACCAAGAAGUGGGAGAGGUGUUAAGGCCAACAAUAGGGCUGUCACAAUUUUAAAUUUGUGUUGUGCGAUUAUUGCACCAACAUUAAUUGUGAUAAACAAUAUUAUGGCAAUUUUCAGACCAUUUUAUGCCACUGAUAAAAUAAUGACAAUAUAAUAGCAUGGUAAUACAAGUGCGCUCUUUCAAUAUUUGAAAGAGCGCACUUUAUUUGUCGGAAUAUAUAGACAUUAGAAUCGGAAUGUGAAAAAACAUAUCCUAAAUAAAUAAAAUGUUUUUGGGCUGUUAUCCGGUUUGGAUAGUUUGAUUACCUUUUUUCUAGGGGUGUAACGAUUCAUUCACUGAAUCGAUUAAUCGAUUUAUAUUCCUGCCAUCCAACUGAAUUGAUCUGUGCUCCACAAAUCGGCAUUCCGGACGACAUAUAUUGAUUACAAAUCGAUUGAAAUGGUACAUAAUCGAUUGUAUCGAUACUUGGAAACUGCACAUUGGAUUUGAGUACAAAAACGGUAUGGAUGUGUGUGUGUGUGUGUGUUUGUUUUUUAGCACUUUAGACACGUUAAACGUUCAGAUUCUCGAUUCAGUCUGUCUGUCUGUGACGUCAUCAGUACGCAGCGGCAGCCGCGCGAAACAACAACAAAACACAGCGUGGGGGAGACGACUGCGAGCGAGACAUUUACAAACCAACUUAUCGAUCCAGCGUGUGGAAACAUUUUGGCUUUUGCAAACACGGAGGUGUUCUAAAUAAGUCGCUCGCUGUUUGUAGAAUAUGUAGAAGACAAAUAAAAAAACACGGAAACACGACGAAUCUUUCCGGCCAUCUACUAAGGCGCCGUGGGAUUAAACAACGCCGACAGUCAGGACCUCUAGCAGCGUUACCGCUGCAGCAGCAGCAGCAGGUAACUCCAGCUCUGCAGACACCUCAGGCCGCCAGCACUAAACUCAACAUCACAGUAACAAUUGCCAAGUUUAUCUGUAAAGACAUGCGACCCUACAAUGUGGUUGAAAAUCCGGGGUUCUGUGAAUUGAUCCAAACAUUUUUUUAAUUAUUGUGUAAUGUUUACAUUGAAAAUGAAAUUCUUCGCAUGAAUUGCGAUUCGAAUCGAAUCGUUGUUAAAAUGAAUUGUUACACCCCUAUUUUUUUCUCAUCUUGUGUUGCGUAGUUUUUCACAUAAUUAGUCGUAGACACACACACACUAUCUCACUAAUACCACACACAAACUAGACUCUUUAGUCCAAUAAGUCCACAACACACCUAAACAAUGAUGACAUCAAAGAGAGGAAGCAGAUGCGAAUAAUGGUUUGAUUAGUUAUUCAUGUAGUCUAUAUGUAGAGAAAGCCAGCAGGAGACAUCAAACGAGAUCUGGUGGACAGAUGGACACUGGCUGCUUGGAUGGACCCUCACCCGGGCUGACUGUUGGGAUCUACAGGUCGUGUCUCUCUGUCUAUCUGCCUCAAUCCUGCCUGCCCUCUGCCUACUCUCAUCAGAUCCCCUCCUCUCUCGUCUCUUUGUUACGUCAUAGUGCAGACUGUGGAAAAGGGAAAACAAAUCCAGGCAAACACAGAAAGUUGUGAGAGAAAUCUUCUCACUCAGGUGAAAAUCAAAGACAAGGAUCUUUGCCUGAGCUUUAGAGGAAAACAAGAUGAUUGGGAUGAGCAUUCAUGCAGCCUGCAGUGUGCACACCUUUUCCCCCACAUCCUGAGAGCAGAGGUCUUAUCCCCAUUUUUGGUAACCAGAUGGUGAGGGGACGAACAAAGGGAAAUACAUUUCUGGUUUACAAAUGCAAACUGAUAUUAUUCACACCUCAGUGGGGCCUAAGUUGCUCUCAAGACUUUGCACAAUUCAUAUUUAUGUGACACAAGGCCGUGCACUUUUUGGUCAUUAUCUGUUCUUAGGAAAUCAACAGACCAUAUGAAAUGUCUAACAUGACCUCGCUAUGCCUGCCACAGUUCCAAAUAACCAUAUCUCUCCAAAAAAUACUUAUGCCGCCGCCAUGCUAUCAACAGAGAAGGACUUACGACCCUACGACAAUCACUGGGAGGAAUGACAGCGAAGACAUGAUCAUGACAACAAUGUUGGUGUCAUUUUGCGUAAGCUCUAUGACUAUGUUUGGAGCGGGGAGAUUUUCUGAGCAGGGCGUUUGGCUUCAAGACGACAGUGUCAAACCAAUGGGUUUAGGGGAGGAGCCAGAAAGCUAAAAAAUACCAUAACGCACAUUUACUGAAUCCAACAUCUUGAGGUACGUUUCUACCCUCCACUCCACUUCAUGUAUUUUAUUUUUAAUUUUGUUUUAUCGAAGUUUCUAAUUACCUUCUAGAGUAAAUAUACAAUAUACUCAUGAUCCAGUAUUAUAAAGCAGUUCAUCAGAUAUCUGAAAUUAACUCAACUUUUACUCUUUGAAUAAUAGCUAUGGUUAUACAAUCACCUGUUUAUUUGACAUAUUGUAGCAUAUCCCUCCCGACAGAUCGUCUGACGCUUUACUGCUUGAUUGUACAAUUUAUUUUUUUAAAUCACACAAACAACCGUAAGGGAGGAGGCACUAAUACCGUAACUGUCCGUUAACUGACCACAGUUUUUUCUAUUCCUUUUCCAACUGACUUCCAUUUUUUACCUAAGCCCUGCCUUCAAAAUAAAUCAAACUCGAAACAGGAAAUGCACAACAAAAUCAUCUAAAAAACAUAUAAUAAAGGCCAAACGCAAAACCUUCUCCAAUACUCACAAACUCGGUUAGUUACAAAUAUGUUACAUGAAAAUAAAAAAUAUUCUGCAUGAUGUUUUUUUUAUCUUACUUUGGUACUUACAGAAUAUUUCAAGCUUUUUUACAUAUAUUUUGUACAAUUUUGAAACCAGGAGUACUUUCACAGUGUGGAAUUGUGUGUGAGAAAGUAUUUCAUAUAGGGCUGUCAAUAAAUGGAUAGAUAACUAAUUAAUUGCACAUUUUGAAAUUCAUAUUCUCGAUUAAUGGCUAUUAAUAAAAGUUGUUUAAUGAAUGUUUGUUUUAUUUCUAAAGACUUACUAUUAUAAAUAAUGAGUAAUCACACUAGAAAACGUGUAUUUUAGACACUGUUGUUUAAUUGUUUAUGUUUAACACAAAACUACACACAUUUGAUCAUCUUGGAGGCAGAAUUGAAAUUAAAUUGGAACAUGUCGAACUAGCAACUCUUCCAGCUAGCUUAAACAAACAGCUAGUUUAUCAUAGCGGUGCUUGUGUUUAACAUAUGGAGGAAUUUCUCUGCACAGUUCUCCGCUGUAUGUCGCCCCUGUUCGUUUUACUUCCAAUGCAAAGAAGCCACCGUCUUGCUUUCUCCGAUGUAACCGACUGCAGCAGGCGGCUGUUUUGUUUCCACUGUCAACAAAGCUACGCUAACUAAGCUAAAAUAUUUUGUUGCAUUAAUCACGUUUAUGUUGACAGCCCUAAUUUUAUAUGAGUAGCGUAGAUUCAGUUGCAACUUUUCAGCUCUCCCCCUCACCCGUCAACACAGCAGACACUGGCCGACUCCUCUCCUAACUGCCACGUGCUCGUCUGCUGGGGGAAAACACUUUGCACUUUCUGACAGCAACUGGCAGUGAAGGCCUCACAGCGCGUCACAGAAUCUUGACAUCGACGCAGAGAAAUCCUCAGGAACAUUUGUUGUUAAAUACUUGUUUGUGACAUUGCCGUCAUCGUGUAGAAAGUGAUUCCGUUGUGCGUUGCGACCAAACAAGUUGAUGAAGUAGGCCAACAUGACGCGGAUCAUUUUGAGGAUUUAGACUCAGGAAACCAGGAUCAAUGCAACCCUCUCUCACGGAGAGGGACGGUUUGAAAGAACCAAAUGUAACAACUGCUUCUUUUUCCAGAGUUACCAAACGGCAGCUCGCACACCAGCAAAAGCUUCAUGGAUUUGUUUGAUGCUGGUGUUACCAGGGUUUGAAAAUGUGUUACUGUUCAUAUGUAAAUUAAAUAAGGUGUAACAUUUUCCCUGUUUAACCAGGAAAAUAGUUCAUCUUUUCCUUAAUAGUCAAUCUUUGUCAUUCCAGGCACAGAUAUUUAUUUAAGUGAUCAUCUGUCUCUUUAUAGACGAUCUUUGUUUUCUCCACCGAUUGUUUUAAUGAAGGUAGUUAAGAGUAAGCAGAAAACCUAUGAUUCAUCAAAAAAUUAACAACUUUAAUUCGAAGCAUGCGCCAUUUAACGUUGGGGGUUUCGGGAAAGAUGAUAAAACCUUUGAACAUUUGAUAUCCUGGCUGUUUUUUUGGAUGGCUCCAUCACUGGAACCAGAAGUACUGUCCGGUCUGCCGCCACAUCUUCAUCGUCUUCAUCCAUCCACCACCAAGAGAACCCUCACAUCCGACCUCACAGUGCGCCUGGAGUCCAUUUGACUUGACAUUGGUUGUGGGUGGUAGGACUUUUUUUUUGGACGAUACAGCUUCUUUUAUACGUUUUUCCAGAUUGAACUCAUUUCUAAGAUCUCAGAGGUUUUCUUUAUUUUUUACAUUACCUGCUUGAACAUUCUUUUGAUGUGUGGAAUCUGGAUUGAAUUUGAAUAUCCCCCUAUAUUCUGCACUGUCUCUAAGCGAUAGUUGCAGGGGAGGGGGUCACUGGAAUGAGGGAACAGAGGCUCUCAACACAAGAUGGAUCUCAACACUGUGGAAAUGGAUUCUAAAGCCGCCAAUGGAAUUCUUUAGCUUCAACGUAUUUGACGAAAAGGAUGAACACAAGGUCGUUCCCAGCAUGAAAACUGAAGAUAGGCACAGAUAGUUUGUGUUGUGGCCUCCGUCUCGUCCCUGAAUCAGCACAUCACCAUACCUGUAGGCAGAGCAACAUGUCAAAGUCACAGCUGAGGUAAAAGUAAAUAUAGCACAACCAGUACGGAAAUAAAAGAGUUUAAUACAACUUUCUUGACGGUAACAACUUUUUUUCAGUUCUACACGUUGCAUCUGAACAUUGACGGGAACUUUAUUUAGCUUUUUUGUUUUUGCCAGAAGUGACGAUGCUGCAGGUGCAAAACAACUUCAACCUGUGCAGUAGUUUGAUGAGGAGCCAGGGGUCGUCGCUCAUUAAUGUUAAUUUAGUAAAAGACUGCCCCGAUUCAGAGAGUAAAGCUUUUGGGCAGGGCUAUCUUGAAGAGAGAAAGUGUGUUUUCAGUGGGUCGAAAAUAUAAAAAAUAAAAAAUAUCUCAUUCAAUGUUAGCCACAGAGAAGAGUUCUUUACAAGACAUGACAUAUGUACUAUAUUUUGGCAAAUUAACACAUUUCAAUGUUUGAUGUCAACCCAAUUCAAUCUAUUCUGAACAGCAACAAAUGCCAAAUUUGCCUCAGAGGGCUUUAAAAUCCGUACGCACAUCGGCACAGGAAAAGCAUCCCAGAACAAAAAGAAACCUUUAACAGGGAGAACAAAAAGAAGAAACCUUUGGAAGAGAGACAGGAGGAAUAGAGAAGUACAACAGAUGUCAUGUGCACAGAAUGAACAAUGUAAAAUGAAUGUUUAAUGAUUUAAGUUGAGUGACGCUUACUCAUAAACACAAAGCAUUUGUCCUUUUUCUAAAUGUGUGUAACACCACUCUUUAAUUAGCUUCUCGAGCUGUUGGUUAGCCUGCUUGUCAUCCACCUUCUCCCGUGGUGAUGCUGCGUUGCUUGCUGGAGGGAGACAGUAACACGCGCAGAGUGAAGUGAGGACACGCUGCCAAGGAAGCGCACUGCUCAGGGAACACACAUUUCUAAACACAAUUAAGGAUGACAUGAGUGGACAAGACAAAUGUAUUGAGGAGAUGAUGUAGUUAGCCAACCAAAGCAAAAGCCUUUGUUCUAUCACCUAGAAGAUGUAAGAUGUUACAUGGGAGAUGUUUGAUGCUCUUUGGAUGAUCUUUAUGAAUGUAUUCUGAUGAUGGAAUCUGGAUUAAAUAACUUAACAUCUUUUCUUUUAGUGCGUCAAUUGAAAUAAUAUGUACCAUCGACGUUUAUUGAUUUUAUGUAGUAAUUUGAACUAUUGCAGCGAUGUCUCCCUCAACCUCACUAGGUUGUCUUGUUGCCUGUGGUUUAUUUGUAUAUCGUGGAUAAAUGCAAACGUCUUCCAUAAGGCUGCAAUGCUAAUUCAAUCCGGAGAGACUUGUAGAAAUUUUAACAAUGCUUUAUUAUAAACAGGGUUAGAAUAGGCGCCACAUUUCCCAGGUCUUGAGCUGACCCGUGCUUGUAGGGUGGAGGUGUCCGUCCUCGAUGGGCCCGGAGUGGUUGGUGGAGAACACGUACUGGGUGUAGUGCUCUUCCUGUUACCCAGAGUAGCUCGUGCUAGUUCGGACUCCCGUUUUGCUUCGCCUUUGGUGUGUGCUGAAAUGAAAACUGACAGCAUCAAAGAGGAACAGUUUUUUAACGUUUGCCAGCACAGAUUCAAUUGGUUUACGUUAACGGCCCCCACGUCUGGUUGGCUGGUUUCACCCGUCCCUGAUCAGCUGCCCGUGCACCCACAGGGAGAGAGGAGGCCACCAGGGAACGGCACAGCCUGUCCAGUCUUCCUGACUGAUUUUUCGCCUAAGCUUCAUUGAUACUUGGCAUUACUGAAAGUGAAGGUAAUUAACGUCAAUUUCUCUCUUUUUUUAAGUGAGUCUGUCAUUUCAGAACGGCUUUAAAAGGAUGGCAGAAAGAGCAGAAAACGUGCUGGCAAAUCCAAUCGGGACGCUAACACAUAAUUAAUUCAGCAUUAUCCACAUCAUUAACUCUACAAGCCACGAGACCUAGAAAAUUGUACCUAAAAACAAGUUGGAGUUGGUUUUGGACUAAAUCUAUCACACAUGAUGAAUGGUGAUAAAACACACUCAGAGAUUGGAUUUAGGAUCUGACUCAUGUCAAUGGGUAUUACUCCAAUACCUGUCCCAGUGACACUUUUGGACGCCAUAUAUGCUAUUAGUUUUGGAAUUAAUGAAAGAUAUGCAGGGUCCGUUCCUAUAAAAAACGUAGAUAAAAGGAUAUAACUUACUUGUUGAUUAGCUGAGCGUUAACACCUUCCAUAUAAAAUUCAAUCAAAAAUCAAUCGUCAGCUAAUUCCCAUCUGUGGCCAUUCUGUACUUUGUACUCAAAGGUUGUUUUUAGCUGGAGUGUCCACUCCAUAAACCUAUCUGAGACAUUUCCUCAGGCUUUAUUGCCACAGCUUUCUGUGUACUGCAAAGUGUGCUUUGUCACUAUGGUGUCUCCCAUGUGGCAAUUACUCUCUUUGCCAGAGGGGAGAGACAAAACUUCCAUACUUCAACUAAAAAUGAAAACGAUGGCAAUUUGAUUAUUCAUAGUAAGGCUCCAGGAGUUCAUCCACUUGUGUGCUUCCACCCCCGCUAGUGUUUGAAACUUUUUCAGCUUGACUUGACAUUAAAUAGCUGUGAACACAAAUCCCUUCUCCAAUUGGUUCAAAUUCCCUUUAGGGUUGUGAAAGUGCCCUCAUGACCCCUUAAAUAGUCGGACUAGUUGUCAAGACCCCCCCCCCCCCCCCCAUUGAUGUGGCCCUGACUUUGCAAGUGCAUUUGGACCCUUCCUUUAUUAGUUGAUCCAGCUGUUAAACUAGUCCUUUUUUGUUCCACUAAUGUUUUCACCAAAGCAUUAGUCCGUGCUGCUUGAGUCUUUGCGAGGCAGGAAGAGCAGCCCUGCCUUACAUCCCGCUCCACAACAGGCUCCGCCUCUGACAAACAAGGGCAUUUGUUCAGCAUUCCGGGAGAUUCUGGGAGAUUCUCACUUGUCUGUGUGUGGUAAUCAUUGGACCGGGGUACCCAGUAAUUGGCAUUAGCCUGGGUCUCAGAUACCGAUCAGUACCCCGAAGGUUUGAGGCGUGUGUAUUCUUCAACGCCUGUGACACAAUCUAAGUUUGCAAUGGCUUAGUUCCACAACAACAAUAUUGUUGAAUUUAGAAAGGCGUGUACAUUUAAUUUGCGUGAGCAGAGUAUCAAUCUCUGGCACAUGGUGUCAACGGUAUGGGUAUUGAUUCAGUUUCUUUUCUCAUCUCAGAAGGUUACCAUGGGGCCCGUGUCUGUUCCGCAGCCCCACCCCCACUAUCCAUUAUGUUUCAGUUCAUGGAAAGUAUAACCAUGAAUAAUUUGAUAGGAUGUCCCUUUACAUGUUUUCAUCUUUGCUGAUUUUGAGCUUAGGCUUUAUGUUAAACCCCACCGUGCACAUAGCUCCACGCACACACACAAACAUGCCGGGGGGGCCGAGGCCCCCCCCCCCCCCAUCCCCUGCAGACAGACACAGCUGGUUGAUGCUGGGUGUUCCUCGUCACUUUCAGCGGCGACAUAAACUCCAUACCAAGUCCUGUUAACACAAGAUUUCACACCCAGAUGUGGAGGAGCUGCCAACGCUGUGCUUAGCGUGAGAAAACGCACACGCCUUAAACGCCACAAAAGCUCUUUCCCCCCACCGAAGGUCCAACUUCAUUCAGGACCAAAUAUCAGAAUAAUUUCUCCCAGCGCGUGCCUGUGUUUACCUCAUGUGGCUUAGCCAACCCUCAGAUUGCAUGUACCUUGCGGUUUUAUUACUGUGUGUGCGUGCGUGCGUGUGUGUGCACAUGUGAGUGUGAAGGAAAAUAAAUGGAAACACUCUGAAGGCACAGGUUGUUGUUUUUUUUCUCACACAUUCGAUGCGACCUGGAAUCUUCAAAGUUAUUGUUGUUAUUUUCUCUCCCCCUCCUCUCUGCUUCACUCAGCCUCUGGUAACACUGCUGCAUUGCCCAUCUUAAAACAAGUACCAGGCUUUUGAUGGAAUUUAGUCGAACUUCAGAUUAAACAUAAUAGAGAAACUACUGAUUAUUUUACAUCAUUUCAUGAUUCAACAAUCAGUUAGCUAUUUAAAAAGAAAUUUUGUAUCAAUCUGAUCUAUGUCUUAUUCUACUUCUUGUGUGACAAAAGAAUAAUGUUUAUGUGAGCAGAAUGCAAAAAGGGCAAAAGAGCGUGAUAAUGUGUAGAGCUAUGAUUUUGAAAAUCUGUAAUUGAUAAAGAAAUGCAUACAGUGAAAUACUUUAUGGCACCGCCACGUGGAUUGACGAAGAGAUAUACAAAAUCUGAAGUUACAAUAAAUGUACCAUCCAGUGUAAUACCUCAUUGCACCACCAUAUUCAGCGAAAGUCUCAAAAUAACUAGUUGAACACACCCGGAGACGUCUCCAGGGACGUGGACAUUGCCUUUCACGCCUUUUUCCGUUCAGUAUGUGUGCGCCCCCUGUUCAAGAUUCGGGGGUGGAACCGUUAACUACUUUGUGCUCUGUGUGUCUGAUUCUUAGCUGAGAUGUUCACUUUUUAGCACAAUGCUUUUUCUUUAUUAAAUACUUUUGGUUAUUACUUUUCAAUCCUUCAGUCCUUUAUUUGUGCAGAGUUUCUUCAUUUUUGAACAUGACAGUUUCAAUUGUAAAUGAUCUGUAUUAUUUACAAAUAAGUGCAAAGAGCAUACAAGUCAAUAAAAAUUAUGUAUUAUUAAAUAUAAUAAAACAUUCUGCCACAUAUGUAAGGCAAACUAAAGGUAAGGCGGCAUACCUAUGGUCUCAACAGUUUAGAGAAGUAGCCAUAUACUAUAUGCUUUCAACUGUAUAUCCUUAUUUUAACUUUAAGGACUAUAACAUUUUGUUACUCUGUCUAUUAAGUCAAAAAUCCUCUGCACUUGUAUUUGUUCAUUUUAAAUAACUUCCUUGCCAUAUCAAGGAUUCAAGGAUUUUCGUCUUAAUAGGAUUUGGAAAAAACUGUCCCUGCAUUCAUCUUCAGUAGACUAGACGUUUGUAACGGUGUGUUCAAAGGUCUGUGUGAAAAGUCAGGCAAUCAGAACACUGCAGCUGGAAUCCUAAAUAAGACUGAGGAUCACAUCAAUCCAGUUCUAAAGUCCUCAGACGGCUUCCUGUCCAACAGAGACUUGACUUUAAAAAUCCAGCUGUUGGUUUUAAAGCUCUAAAUGAUGUAGGCCCAAAAUGGCUGAUUUGCGGCUACCUUACAAACCAUCCUGAUCCCCCCUGGUUGUUUGGGACUGGUCUCCUUCCUGUUCCCGGAGUCAGAACCAAACAUAGAAGACAAACUCCCAGAGAGCAGCAAGUCAGUGAGGAGUGAGAAUCUCAGUGGAUUCAGAUUAAAGCUUAAAGACUUUGUGUCUGCCUUUAACUGACAAUUUACUACUGUACUUUUUUCGUAAAAAGCACUGCAACUUUUUCAUUGCACCUCAUUUAACUGACACUUUUAUCCAAAACAACUUACGUUGCAUUUUUGGUUUUACAUGUUUAACACAUUGGGAGUGGCGUGCAGCCAUAAGGGCGCAGUUAGGGGUUGGGUGACACUUUGGUUCCCGGCUCACCCUCUCUACUCCAGGCGCUAGCGUCGCCUGAAGUAUUGUAUUUUAUCUUAAGAGCAUUGAUUAAAACAUUAACAAACAUUGUAAAUGUCCUUUUCCUCCUCCUUAUGUUUUGAUGGUUUUAUGUGAAACACAUGUGGAAUGCCCUUAUGAUUCCAUCCAUCGUCAAACCGCUUAUUCUGCACAGCCAAAGGAUGUCUUUGGAGUGUAGGAGGAAGCCGGAGAACCCUGAGAGUACCCACGCAGACACGGGGAGAACAUGCAGACUCCACACAGAAAGGCCACUGGGCGGAAUCGAACCCAGGACCUUCUUGCUGUAAGGCGACAGUGCUAACCACCACGCCACCAUGCCGCCCUCCUUAUGGCUGAAAUGUGCUAUAGAAAUAAACUUGACUUAAUGAAACCAUACUAGAGGUGAUGACAGUAAGGUCAAGCUCUCUGUUUACUUGGGCUCUUGCUGCCGACACCUUUCCAGAAUCGUCUGCCUAUUCUGCUGUGGUUUGUGACAACUAAACGUGGAGGAGCAUAUGGUCAAUGUUAUUACCACUGAGCCAUUGACUGUCAUCUGAAGGACAUUUUGUCUCAUCAAGGGAUGGUAAUCCAAUGUAGCCCACAUAAAACCACUCACCUUGCUAUCGAUUUAAAAUGCAGUGAUAUUUCUUCAUCCUGGCUUUUGGAUGCGGGUAGACUGCGUAGUAUAUUAAAGGUUUCAGUGUAAAUCACAAAAGAUCUCUAUAGAUGCUGUGUAGCUCAUCAAUGUGAGCUGUUUACUGUGGCCACAGCCUGCCAGACUUUGUUGAUGACACUACAGCCCAGUUGUCUGUUAGGCAGGUUACAUGCUUGUAAUCGUCAAACUGCAUUCUGGGCUUUCACCCUGUGACCAUGGGAGUUUCUGCACUCCUCCGCUCGGUCUGAUUUAUGAACAAAGUCACAGUGAAUGAAGCAAGACUUUAAUCUCAGAGUCUUCCUUGUCCUACCUCGGUGAUGGUAUCCCUCCCAGGCGUGGAACCUUCACUGAUGAUGUCUUGUCCUGUUAAGAUGUGACAUGACUCCAGUUGAUAAGCUGGUUUCACACUGAUUUCAUAAGGAAAAGUAGGUACCGUAACUGCAUUUACUUGAAUAUUGUACUUACUCAAACAAUUUCUCUUAAAAUAUUUGACAUUUCAUCUCUCUACAUGUAUCAAACUCGUAUAUUAAUGUUGUUGAAUUUUACACCGUCACGAAGAAAAAUAGACGUUUUUUAAUCAAAUAAGGGCCAUCUCUACACCUGGGGAGGACCAUGUUAUCCUCAAAGUGAUUAAAUGCUCAUGAAAUCAUCAUGUUAAAGCAUCCAUUUGACACUGAUGUGAAUGAUAUGAAUGGGGUUUCAGCUAUCAGUUAGAUAUAAGUGUAAUGGUAAUGUAAUGUCAUGUAAGCCCAGUGUUCUUGAUAAAUAAUGAUCAUUAGGUCUUAGAGUGGGUGUUAGGUGGUCAUCAUUCAUUUCCAUUCUUUACCUGGACCUAGAAGCAAAACUGUGAAAUAUUUACUGCUACUCUGCCUUGGUACCACUCUGCAGAGAGGGUGAUCGGCUGCAAUCUGCCGUCCCUGCAGGACUUGUUCGCUUUUAGGUCUCUGAAGCGGCAGUCGGCAGUCGGGCUCAUCAACAGAGCCUGGUCCCCCACUGACUGACUCUGACAUUCCACCGGUCACUUUCUUUCAUACUGCACACGUCACUUUACUGUCAUUUUUCACUCGUCACUUUGUCACUUGUUCGCUAGUGCACUUUAUUUUUAAAUAUUUUGUAACUUUUUAAGUAUUUUUAAUUUUUAACUUUAACUUUAUUACCUUAUUUUAUACUAACCUAUAGCCUUAUUCUACUAACCCAUAGCAUUAGCAUUUCAUUUUAUUUCAUUACUUGUGCACUGCUGUCUUGUUGUCUAUUGUUACACUGUCUACUGUCACGCACCAACCGCCAAGUCAAAUUCCUUGUAUGUUUGACAUAUUUUGGCAAUAAAUGUUGAUAAAUGUUGAUUCCUGGCAAAAAUAAAUAUGAAUUCUCCCCACAGAAGAACAGGACACCGCCAGCUUGAUUUUUGCUAAACUAGAGGCGUUGUAUGACGAUAGAUUGCCUGUCUCGGAUCUGCGCUCAAUGUAUUUCAGGUGUACCCAAGAAGCCAGGGAAACAACAUGGGCUUUUGCCCUGUGACUAUAAGAGCUCUUCAAAAGACUGCAAAACUGAGAUCCACGGGGGGCUUGGUAGCGAAGAUGUGCUCUUGAGAGACCCAUUUGUGGAUGGCCUUCUUGACACUACCCUCAGACGGGAGUUACGCACAAAAUUGCUGUUGCAGGAAGACCUGACAUUUGCCACAGUAUUAACCCGUGUAGAAGUGUAUGUUGAGGAGGAUGUACUUGUUCGGACAUAUGCGGUACAUCAAACUAACCCCUUGGUUCAGCCUAGUGCUGCUUCAUGGCCAUAUCUUUCUGCUCAGCCGGGAAUUAUCCCCCAGGAAAACGUCUUAGAACACAUGAAAAGUGACCUGCGAAAAGAGUUGGUAGCGGAGUUCCGAGAGCAAUUUACGUCGCUAUCCCGGGAGCUUUGAUCCAGGAAGUACGAGGACAACAACAACUCAUCCCGAAAAGGCAAGAAAACCAUCAGAGAACCUCACACGAACCUCGCGCUACAACUCAUUCCAGCUGGGGCCGGAGAGAGGAACACGACGGCAACAGUCCACACGGACAGUGUGUCGGUAUAACGGUCCUCCUUACAAUCCCCAGCCAGACUUGGAAAAUGACUAACCAACAUGGAAAUUGUGGAUUUAGCCCUUGUGAAAAAUCAAAAGUAUCAUAAACUCGUUUGUGAUUUUACUAGCUAGUAUUUUACUAACUAGAAUAAGAAAAAUCAUAGUCGUAAGUAAAGACAGAGGUCAAAUGACUACAAUUCAGUACGAAAGGGGCAGAUUGUUCCUUCCCCGAAAAGGAACAGGAAGAUCUAAACAAGUUUCUGAGGGAGAACAGGAGCUUUCAUACAUCUCUGAGAGGUUCGAGGAAGAGGAAAACAGAAGACCCCAACAAAAGGCAGAUUAGUUGUAAACAGAUGUCGUUGGGAGACACCCAUGUCCCUCCCUUAAUGCGACCUAGUCAAUCAUAUUUGACAGACUAAGUGAACGGACGAGGAGAAGACCAGGAUACGGAUCAGUCCAGGCACCUAUCAAACAGGAUGCCAUCGUAAACGAGGUCAGGUCACGAUUUUCCCAAGAAAGGUCACACACCAAGUUCUUGAGACACUCACAAUAUGCAGCUCAACAAAUACUUCCCUGACUCCUAGGAGGGGUGAGUAGUAACACAAGGCAACAUGGAAAGUGGAGGAGAAACCCACCAGAGGAGGCCAGAAUGGACAACAGCAGAGAGGAUGCAGCAGAGGAGGCCAGAUCGGACCAUAGUCGAGAGGCCCGACAGCACCGACGCACCUGGGGAGUACGAUAAAGGGGAUUUGAACAGUUUAUUAUUGAAUAAACAUUGUCGAAGGGACUCAACAAAAAUUAAACCGGGAAGUAAGAUGUAACCGUUAGACACCACUUUGUUAAAACAAGGUCGAUAAAACGAAUAAAACCGCAUCUGCCAUAAUACAUUAACCACCUGUGGCCACCCACGGGCGCAGCACUCUGGACAGCGCCUCAAGAGAGCAGCACAAAGGGUAGGGGCAGCAAUGAGCAAGAGGUCAGGUGACCUGUUGGUGGGCAGCACGGUCGUCCUCAGAUCAGAGGGUUGUCGGUUCGAUCCCAGGCCCGCCUAACCCGCAUGUCGUUGUGUCCUUGGGCAAGACACUUAACCCAACAUUGCUCCUGUAGCUGCGACUACAGUGUGUGAAUCGUAGUUACUGAUGGCAGGUGUCACUGUGUGUGGUUCUCCUGUCAUCAGUGUAUGAAUGGGUGUGAAUGGGUGAAUGAUGUCAUGUAGUGUUAAAGCGCUUUGAGUGGUCGGAAGACUAGAAAAGCGCUAUACAAGUACAGGCCAUUUACCAAAAGGGGAAACACCCCGCCCCCUCAGGAGACAACGAGCGGCCCAGGUGCAGCUCAUAAGCUGAAGGUUGGCCACACUAUAAAAGACCAACCAUUCCAACAGCCCAGCAGACAAGACGUGAGUAGAAGCUGGCUUCAUGCCAGAGUUUGUUUGCAAGAGUGUUAAAGCCUGUUUGUUUUUUUGUGCCACCUGCAGGAAGGAGACUGAAGGCCGAACGAACCUGCUGAACCGCACCCUCAAAAGAGGAAGAACCUAAGUUUCCAUUUUUUUGUUACUUUGUACGUUAUAAUAAAUCGUACCCUUUUCUUGUGCAACUAGACGUGCUUCUGAGUCCGGUGAUUCCACCCACACCCGUUGGUUGCCACACACCACACAGAUUCAAAACAUCCAAACAAUAAAAAUGAAUAAUAAAAAGAAGUAAAAGCAUGCAGACACAACUCUAAAACAAAACAAAAUGGGGUCUAACAGUUACAAGUCCCAUGGAAUAUGUCCCGAUCGAAGUUGAGGGCCUUUUUGGUGCGCCAUCAUCUUGUCCCACCUCAGUGCCAUCACAGGAGAACAACCAAUGGGUCCCAAACUCCAGAAGCCAUACUGUAAUCGGGUAAGAGGGUGUUUUACUUUUCACACCAUGCAUUUAAGUGCCAGCACUGGUUGCCUUGCUGAACAUAUUAGUUUCAGCGCCCAUCUUUCAAUUCAAUCGCUGCUCUUGUGUGAAAGUCAAGUCCUGUUUAAACAUACCCUAGAGCAGCCUGUGGUCUGAAAUGCCCUUUUGCCAAGUGGUGUUUUAACUUACGACUCUUACUCUUUGCACCAAUUGCUUUCAUUUGAUCUUUGGAAAAUAUUGCAGAAAAUGUAUUUUCCAGGAUUAACUAGUUCUAGUAGGACUAGGAAAAAAAAAUGGCCGACACUGUCUCCAGAGCCGAUCCGAGCAAACGUGUCAUCCAACUGGUUGGCCUGAAUUAGUGCCGGAAUCGGCAGACUCAGUUUCUGGAGAAAUUGGUGAAAUUUCCACAGCUGUGUGUGGCUAUGGAUGGUGUUAUGAACCCAAACACAAGUGUUUGCAGUUCUAUUGUUUGUGUAAUUACCACAAGUACUAGCAGAAAGGGUUUAUUCUGCCUGGUGGAUAGCAGGAACAAUAACAAGCCACCUAGAUAAGCAACGCCCCCUUUCUGGCGCAAAUGAAAGGGAUGCGAAUGAAGUGAAUUAGAUGUCGGGAGGGUAAACUCGCGAGAUUAAAGCGUUGUGAAAAUUUGCUUCCUUUUGGUGUGGAUGCACCAUAAGAGUUCAGUGCCACUGACUAAGAUGCCUUAUGGGAUUCUUAUAGGUGACAGUGUAAUGCUUGAUGUGGGGUCGUUACCAGAAAGUGUUAUUCUCCCACUGCCGUGCAGGGUUCUUUCCCAGAGAUAAGAACCAAAAUGCAGAGUUCAAGUCAGCAAUGAUCACUGCAGCAGGCAGUUUUAGAGUCCUGUUUUACAUACCAAAGGAAGUAAAAAGUCUGCGUUGCCCAAUGGUGCCGUGGCUUUUGAAUGAAGGGGCCAUUUAGUAGGCAGUGGGUAGUUCGUGACAGAGUGCAGAGUUUCACUUACUGCGAUCCCAUCCGUACCCAGACCUAAAGAUAAAACAUAAAAAAAUUGAAAACCUGACGGGACAGUUCUAUUUCAACCGACGGUAGUAGUUUAAAGUACAGACCAAUUGCAUUCGAGUCAAGCCAUCCCACGUGGUACCACUCAACCACACAAUUCUGUCUAUUCCUGGAAAGGUGAUAUUGUCUCAACAGUGCAGACAGAUUAGAGAUAGCGGCAAAUCCCAAAUAUAAAUAUAAAGACGGUAGAAAGAAAAAGAAAGACUGAGUAAAAGACGGGUGAGACGGAGAAAGCAAGAGAGAGGGACGGGUGAGAAACAUAAGGAACAAAUGGUGCUCUCCAAAAUGUUGACAGCGAAAGUAGAGCUUUAAAUACAGAAAAUAUAGUCAUUUCUGGAUCACACUCCCCACUGGGAUGACUACUAAACACACUGUUGUGUUUAGAUUUAUUAUAUAAAUUAUAUAUUUAUUAUAUAUAAUUAGCUGAGGCUGUUGAGUCCAAAUUUGUAACAUAAAAGGAGAAUUCAAGGUUUUCUUCCCUUUAUUUUUUUCACAUUGUAUUCACAUUCUCUUAUUUUGAAUUGUAGCUCGACUUUUACUUAGUCAAUGAGAGAAAAUUACUUAUAUUUGUGGUAAUAUAUGUAUGUUUAGUUAUUUUUUUACGUGACAAUGCAGCUUUGAAUUGUACUGAAUUAAUUUGAUUUGUUAGUUGUGGAUUAAAUGCAGAUUGAAUGCAGAUGUUGAUACAACUCUGCUAUUCUUUCCAAAUUUAAUCACACUAAAUAGUUACAUUAUGAUCUUCUGGAUCUUCCUUACUUCUCUUCUUUACAUUUUAGUUGAAUACCUAGAGGAGUGACUCAUAUCAGACACUUAGCAGUGCUGCUUCAAUUUGGAUUAGAAUUAUUAUUUGUUAAUGUUCUUGUGGACUCUCCAACUGCGUGGACGUGCAAUGCAUCGUCACUGGAAUAGCCCUUUCAGUUAAAGGGAUGGAACCACUGUAAACCACAGUCCAGUGUCUGCUCUCCGUCCAUAGCUCCUUCGGCUGGGAAAUCCUCAGCUGCCAAACCAGAACUAAAGCAUAGGAUGGCAAGUGUGACAUGUGAUCAUCUCAGCUGUCAUUCCUAUCCGAAGCCAGACGUCACGCUGAAUUAUUACCAGCCUGGGAUUGUAUUCACUAAUAAAAUUCCAGCUGUGUUUAUUAAUUAUGACGGUAAUAUUAGGCAGUCUUGUUAAAUCUCCUCCCCCAAGAUUUCUUGUAAUUAGUAUCAUACCGUGUGAUUGAUUGUUGCCUUAAUGAUCCUUUGAUAGAUGGUUAAAUAGUUCAUUCUCACGGAUGAUGUUACGAAUAACAAUGACGAAAAUAAUUUAUUCCUGUCAUGUACAUUGUCGAUAACAUUCAAUGCAUAAUGUUUGCAACAAAUAAGACAACUACGUGGCAGCCAUCAGGGCUAUGUAGAGUGAUGAAGGCGUAUCUCCUGCCUCCAUCAUAGCUCUUUGAAUGUCUCUGCGUGACGGCCCCACUGCAAUGACAAACAGCCCUGCUGCUGAAAUGUGAAAAGUGUAAUCCAGGCCGAUAACAAGCCAAAAAUGAACUUGAGCACAAUCAAGCUAUUUCAGGCCACAUUACAAGGCGAUCACAUCCCCGCUAAGACUUAACUUUCGCGAUAGAAGCGUAAUAAUCAGCCGCCUGCGAUAAAGGCUGGGUAAUCUGUCAUCGGACAGCAGGGCCAUGGGUUUUCCAAACCGCAGGGGUCCAGGGGCCCUUUAUACUCCACGAGGACGAUCCAUCAUUUAGAAUGCUAACAAGGUGAGGCGUUUUAACAUGAAAGAUAACGUAGGUGCGGCGCUAUCGCCUGCUCUCAGGGACCUUUGCUUUCGCUGGUGGGGAAAUGCUCCCUUAUCUUCAUCUGAGAGAAAACUGACCUUGUGACAGCAAGAGAGCCCUCAAAACAAAGUAUUUCACAGCUAAAGUGACAAACAUCUCUUAGUUAAUUAAUGGAAACAUUUUAGGGCAAGGUCAGUCUAUCAUUUCUGUUAUGACAACAUUAAUUGAAGCAAUUUUACUCUCUGAUGUGACAAGCAAACGAUUAUAUAAGAUAAGAUCCAAGAGACGUACAAAGGCAUAGUCUGAAUCAGAAAAAGGCAGCGUGUAAUUGUUCCUUUCAUCUGUCUUAAUGUUAGUCUGUGUUGCUAAUGAACAACAGAGAGUUCAUGUAAGUUACUUGUUCAACAUUUUUAGCCUGAUAAUCAGACUGAAGUGGUUUGACUUCAUCCGUUGGGUUUUGCCUCCCUAUCAGAACUGUCUGCCUAAAUCAAGAUUACGUUCAAUGUCAGGACUUUGUCAACAUGAUGUCACUGUUUUUCUAAUCCACUAUAAGGAUUGAAAAGGAGGUGGAGGGUUUUGGUCAACAGAAAAGCAAACAUUGGUUCAGGAGUCUGUGCAAGGGUGUGAUCUCUGGACACGUGCACUGCUUCCAGUCGUUCAAUUGGCACUGAACCAAUGUAAAUCUAACUAAAUCCUGGGGGACGUAAUAUUCACAUCCUUUCUACCUAGGCUUUUCGUUUUGACACCCCAAAAUGUUAAGAUGUAAGUGUCUGUCAGUCAUCUGAUGCGGCUGUGUUGCGUUGAGGACAUAGUUUAGUGACGCAGUUUAGGAUGUAGUUCAGUAACAUACAGUACCAGUCAACGGUUUGGACACAUCAAACUUGGUUAGUCCAAACCUUUGACUGGUACUGUAGUCUACUAAUGUAGUAUAUUGACAUGGUUUACUGACAAAGUUUUGUGUCAUAGUUAACUGACAUAGUUUUGCAUUGUAUUUUGAGUGUGCCUCUGCUGACAAGUAUAGAACAAUGCAGCGCACAAUGAGCCCCUAAUAUGGUGGUCCACUGUGGGACACUUUAACCGUUGCGAAGGGGAGGUUUUUAGAAGUUGCUCUGGUCAUCACUGUUUAUCAAGUUAGGUACCACUAAAUUGUUGUUCUUAUUGGGUUCAUCUAGCAGUUUGUAAUGUUUGCUAGGGCUACAGUAUAUGCACGGUUUUGUUUUGAGACAACAUUACUCUACCAAUAUUCAGGCACAAUGACAUAGUGUACCAUAGUGUACUAACAGAAUACUAAAUUAAAGACCCAGCACUGGUCCACUCAAAAUGAAAAGCAAACUAUUGUUGUCGUAGUCUGUAACCUUGACACGGUCUCAUCCACAGCCAUUCUCUUUGUUGUGGCAAUUCAGCUACUUUAUUUUAUACAUUUAGCUGUUUUUGCUCUGGCACCGUUAUAUAACUUCAUCAUUCUUCAUCCUGCCAACAGAGCCGUUCAGUUGUUUGGAAACAGACGACAAUGAGCACAAUAACUGGAGCCCAAAUCAAAAGAUAUGGGCGAUGAUUCUGAGGUUUACUUAUAUCCUCAAAACAUUCCCAGAACGUUACACUUUAGUAAAAAUAUAAGUAAGUACCUAGUCUUAUGCUUUCUAUUCAAAUGUUAUUUGUAUCUGAUGACAUAUAUCUGUAUAUA